rnacentral:rRNA from 1 species
UACGUAGGGGGCAAGCGUUGUCCGGAUUUAUUGGGCGUAAAGAGCGUGUAGGCGGCCACACAGGUCUGCUGUGAAAACUCGAGGCUCAACCUCGAGCUGUCGGUGGAAACCGUGUGGCUAGAGUCCGGAAGAGGAGAGUGGAAUUCCCGGUGUAGCGGUGAAAUGCGCAGAUAUCAGGAGGAACACCAAUGGCGAAGGCAGCACUCUGGGACGUGACUGACGCUGAGACGCGAAAGCGUGGGGAGCAAACAGG